rnacentral:rRNA from 1 species
UACGUAGGUCCCGAGCGUUGUCCGGAUUUAUUGGGCGUAAAGCGAGCGCAGGUGGUUUAUUAAGUCUGGUGUAAAAGGCAGUGGCUCAACCAUUGUAUGCAUGGGAAACUGGUAGACUUGAGUGCAGGAGAGGAGAGUGGAAUUCCAUGUGUAGCGGUGAAAUGCGUAGAUAUAUGGAGGAACACCGGUGGCGAAAGCGGCUCUCUGGCCUGUAACUGACACUGAGGCUCGAAAGCGUGGGGAGCAAACAGG